GUAGUACUCCCUCCGUCCGGAAAUACUUGUCAUCAAAAUGGAUAAAAGGGGAUGUAUCUAGACAUAUUUUAGUUCUAGAUACAUUUUUUUAAUCCAUUUUGAUGACAAGUAUUUUCAGACAGAGGGAGUACUUA
rnacentral:pre_miRNA from 1 species